rnacentral:rRNA from 1 species
UACGGAGGAGGCAAGCGUUAUCCGGAAUUAUUGGGCGUAAAGCGUCCGCAGGUGGCACUUCAAGUCUGUCGUCAAAGACUGGGGCUUAACCCUGGAAAGGCGGUGGAAACUGAAGCGCUAGAGUGCGGUAGGGGUAGAGGGAAUUCCCGGUGUAGCGGUUAAAUGCGUAGAGAUCGGGAAGAACAUCGGUGGCGAAAGCGCUCUACUGGACCGCAACUGACACUCAGGGACGAAAGCUAGGGGAGCGAAUGGG